GACGAACGCUGGCGGCGUGCCUAAUACAUGCAAGUAGAACGCUGAAGGAGGAGCUUGCUUCUCCGGAUGAGUUGCGAACGGGUGAGUAACGCGUAGGUAACCUGCCUGGUAGCGGGGGAUAACUAUUGGAAACGAUAGCUAAUACCGCAUAAGAGUAGAUGUCGCAUGACAUUUGCUUAAAAGGUGCAACUGCACCACUACCAGAUGGACCUGCGUUGUAUUAGCUAGUUGGUGAGGUAACGGCUCACCAAGGCAACGAUACAUAGCCGACCUGAGAGGGUGAUCGGCCACACUGGGACUGGGACACGGCCCAGACGCCUACGGGAGGCAGCAGUAGGGAAUCUUCGGCAAUGGACGGAAGGCUGACCGAGCAACGCCGCGUGAGUGAAGAAGGUUUUCGGAUCGGAAAGCUCUGUUGUAAGAGAAGAACGAGUGUGAGAGUGGAAAGUUCACACUGUGACGGUAUCUUACCAGAAAGGGACGGCUAACUACGUG
rnacentral:rRNA from 1 species